rnacentral:tRNA from 1 species
GUCCCUGUAUCGCGGUGGAUAGCGCGUUGGACUUCUAAUCCAAAAGUCGUGGGUUCGAAUCCCACCAGGGAUA